UACUCAGUUCGGAUUGAAGGCUGAAAUUCGCCUUCAUGAAGCUGGAAUUGCUAGUAAUGGCAGGUCAGCAUACUGCCGUGAAUACGUUCCCGGGCCUUGUACACACCGCCCGUCACACCAUGAGAGUUGGGAAUACCCGAAGCCUGUGAGCUAACUUUUAGAGGCAGCAGUCGAAGGUAGAAUCAAUGAUUGGGGUGAAGUCGUAACAAGGUACC
rnacentral:rRNA from 1 species